rnacentral:rRNA from 1 species
AUUGAACGCUGGCGGCAGGCCUAACACAUGCAAGUCGAUCGAGUGGCGGACGGGUGAGUAAUGUCUGGGGAACUGCCUGAUGGAGGGGGAUAACUACUGGAAACGGUAGCUAAUACCGCAUACAAUCAGACGUGCACAUAUGGGAUUAGCUAGUAGGUGGGGUAACGGCUCACCACGGCCACGCUCCCUAGCUGGUUUGAGAGGAUGAACGGCCACACUGGGACUGAGACACGGCCCAGACUCCUACGGGAGGCAGCAGUGGGGAAUAUUGGACAAUGGGCGAAAGCCUGAUGCAGCCAUGCCGCGUGUAUGAAGAAGGCCUUCGGGUUGUAAAGUACUUUCAGUGGGGAGGCGUUACCGGCAGAAGAAGCACCGGCUAACUCCGUGCCAGCAGCCGCGGUAAUUC